ACUGGGACCCAAAUGGAACUCAAGAUCCCCCGCGUCCUCCUCCUCCUCCUCCUCGUCGCCGUUGCGGCCCUCAUCUCCCUCUCCUCCGCCGCCUCCCCAACCGCCGAUGACCUGGUGGCGGAGCUGGAGACCCUCCGAUCCCAGUCCCCCUCCGGCGUGAUCCACUUCGACGACAGCUCCGUCGCCCGCUUCCUCACCUCCGCCCCCCUCCCCCGCCCCUACUCCCUCCUUGUGUUCUUCGGCGCCUCCAAACCCGACCACCACCUCCGCCGCCUCCGCUCCGAGUUCGCCCUCGUCUCCUCCUCCUUCGCCGCCCAUCAUGCCUCCUCCCGUCGCGUCUUCUUCUGCGACCUCGAGUACCAAGAAUCCGAGUCCUCAUUCUCCCUCUUCGGCGUCACAUCCCUCCCCGACAUCCGUCACGUCGGUCCCCAGCAUCGCUCCCUCCGCGACUCCGACCGGAUGGACCAGUCGGAUUUCUCCGGCCUCGCCGCGUCCAUGGCCCAGUUCGUCGAGGCCAAGACCAGCCUCCCCGUGGGCCCUAUCGUCCGCCCUUCCCUGAUUUCCCCUCGACAAAUCGCCUUCUUGGCGGUCGCCCUCCUGAUCUCCGCGCCGUUCUUGAUCAAGAGGAUCCUCGAAGGGAAAACGAUGCUUCACGACCGUCGGCUCUGGAUGGGCCUCACGGUGUCCGUCUACUUCCUCGGCGUCGCCGGCCUUAUGCACAACAUCAUCCACAAGAUCCCCAUGUACGUGAAGGAUCGGAAAGAUCCGAAUCGGCUCAUCUUCUUCGUCAAGGGCUUCGGGAUGCAGCUCGGCGCGGAGGGCUUCGCCGUAGGGUUUCUGUACACGAUCGUCGGGUUGAUAGUGGCGUUCGCGACGCAUGUGUUGGUGAGGAUGAGGAAUGAGGCGGUGCAGAGGGGGUUCCUGCUGGCGGCAAUGCUGGUGGUGUUCUGGGCGGUCAGGAAGGUGAUCUAUUUGCAUAAUUGGAAGACUGGGUAUACAGUACAUACCUUCUGGCCGACCAGGUGGAGGUGACGGAGAUGUGGAUUGGAGUGGUUGUCUUGCUCCCUAAACAAAUAAUUGUAGCUGUAGCAUCUGAUUGGUAUUUUGAGAUUGCCUUGCCUUCCAAUAUGUGCAACUUAAGAUCCUUGAUAGUAUUUCGUGGAAAGAUAAGGAGGGAAGUUUACGUUCCUUCUGUUUCAAGCUUAUGUGAUUGCUGAGAAGGCAAUGAAAGAAGCAGGUCUACAGGUGCCUUAUGUUUCCCACCAGUAUCAGGAUGAUCCAACAAUGUGGUGGACAAGCAUUCAUACAGCCCGCUGUGCGCUUGACCCCUUUGUGAAUAUUAACCUUCAUAUUUGUCUAGUAAUAUUUGAUGCUGGUAGACAGGUUUGGGUGGCACUUAAUUCCAUCCAGGAUGUUGGACACUAUAUAGGCUUUGUGAAUUUAUGGAACCUACAUUGUGUUGUGAUGCAAUUUUCUGUACAUAUAUUCUAAUAAAUGAUCUUAAUUUCCCAA